CCUACCAAGGCGAUGAUGGUUAACCGGCCUGAGAGGGUGUUCGGUCACACUGGAACUGAGAUACGGUCCAGACUCCUACGGGAGGCAGCAGUGAGGAAUAUUGCGCAAUGGGCGAAAGCCUGACGCAGCGACGCCGCGUGGAGGAUGAAGGUCUUCGGAUUGUAAACUUCUGUUAAGUGGGAAGAAAGGGCUGUUUUUAAUAGAAGCAGUUAAUGACGGUACCAUUAAAGAAAGCACCGGCUAAACUCGUGCCAGCAGCCGCGGUAAUACGAGUGGUGCAAGCGUUAUUCGGAAUAAUUGGGCGUACAGGGUGUGUAGGCGGUAUGUUAAGUCUGUUGUUAAAGACUCCGGCCUAACCGGAGACAGGCAGCGGAAACUGGCGUACUAGAGGGUGGAAGAGAGAAGUGGAAUUCUCGGUGUAGCGGUAAAAUGCGUAGAUAUCGAGAGGAACACCGAUGGCGAAGGCAGCUUCUUGGUCCAUACCUGACGCUGAAACACGAAAGCGUGGGGAGCAAACAGGAUUAGAUACCCUGGUAGUCCACGCUGUAAACGAUGAUCACUAGACGUUGGUUCUGUUUUACAGAAUCAGUGUCGCAGCUAACGCG
rnacentral:rRNA from 1 species